rnacentral:rRNA from 1 species
ACGAAGUCUUCGGACUGAGUGGCGGACGGGUGAGUAACGCGUGAGAAUCUGCCUAGAGGUCGGGGACAACCAUUGGAAACGAUGGCUAAUACCGGAUAUGCCUUACGGGGUGAAAGAUUAAUUGCCUUUAGAAGAGCUCGCGUCUGAUUAGCUAGUUGGUGAGGUAAGAGCUCACCAAGGCAGCGAUCAGUAGCUGGUCUGAGAGGAUGACCAGCCACACUGGGACUGAGACACGGCCCAGACUCCUACGGGAGGCAGCAGUGGGGAAUUUUCCGCAAUGGGCGAAAGCCUGACGGAGCAAGACCGCGUGAGGGAGGAAGGCUCUUGGGUUGUAAACCUCUUUUGUCAGGGAAGAACAAAAUGACGGUACCUGACGAAUCAGCAUCGGCUAACUCCGUGCCAGCAGCCGCGGUAAUACGGAGGAUGCAAGCGUUAUCCGGAAUUAUUGGGCGUAAAGCGUCCGCAGGUGGCUGAUCAAGUCUGCGGUCAAAGACCGGGGCUUAACCCUGGAAAGGCCGUGGAAACUGAUAGAGCUAGAGUACCGUAGGGGUAGAGGGAAUUCCCGGUGUAGCGGUGAAAUGCGUAGAGAUCGGGAAGAACAUCGGUGGCGAAAGCGCUCUACUGGACGGUGACUGACACUCAGGGAC